UUAAAGGGGUUGGGUUCUCUUAAAGGUCACAUAAUCCCAAACCGGAACUCCUGUUUACAGGGUUACAUGCAGUCAAUUUGAUAUAUAGCACACAUUGUUCAGUGAAUGCUGCCUAGGAUUUGUAAAAUAGAAUGCAAAUGGUUGUUUUUGGUAUUAAUUUGAAGGUAUAUUUGUAAGCAAUAAGAAAAAAAAGCCAUUUUUGUGCUCUACUUUUUCUGUCGAUGGUUCCCGGCUUUGAAAGUAGGUCAUACUAUUUGAGUAAAAAUGGUCGCCUCCACAUGUGUCAAAACUGGUGUGCCUAUUCUAAGGUAAAUAUUUUGAGUUACAACACAUAGAAUUUGAUUGCAUGCAUUAUUUUCAAAAGAUUAUGCAUUUAUCUUUCCAAUGAUGUAUGAUGAUAUAGUGUUGAAACGCUUGGUCAUGGUAAAAAUUGAUAUCGAACAUCAACUAUUUUAUAUGUAAUAUAGAAGGAAAUUAAUUGCGCAUGCGUAACCUUUAAGAACUUCCGACCAAGUUAGUCGUCUGCCAGAAUUUUGACAAUUGACCAUCAAAAACUCUCUGUAUUGCAAAACAUAACUGCCAGAUGUCAUUUUGACCCAAAUUAGGGCUGUUUGCAAUUGGGCUGUAGCACUUGGGGUAAUACGGGGGGUAAAUGCUGGAAAAUCACACCGAAACCUGUUCCGGAGACAUAUUCUAAGACUACUUAAACACUCGGUAUUGUUUUUCAGUGACAUUUUGACAUUAAUUUGCAUCAAUCUCAAAAAUGAACCUAAUGCAUGUCUUUAUUUCAUCUGUAUCUAUUAUUAUUGUUUACUUUUUGAACCUUUUACUGUUAAAAAUGCCUGCCAAUAUUUGACCGACACUGUUAUUUGCCUUCGCUUUCAACCCCGUCAGGCAAUUCUACUCAGAAUAAGUUUUCAUAACACUACUUUGCCUUAUUUUUCCUGUUUGGAUAUCUUGCUGAGUUCAAGCAAAAUCAAGUGUUCAGCUGAAAACACAAAAAUGAUAAUAAUAUUAUGCUUUCUUUGCUGGAGGAAUGUUGUUGUCAUAGACCCCGCAUGAAAAACACCAGGGAAUCUGUAUUUAAGUGACCCCAUUAUCACUAUUAUUAUGCGUAAACCUAAGCGUGCAUUUGUAGGCGGUGUCGAAAUGGGUCUAUAGCUCUGUCUGAACUGUCGUCCAAUUGGUUUACAGGUCCGGCUGAAGUGACAGGCCAUCAAAAACUGUACAGCAUGACUGAUUCGGAGACAGCCCUCAACACUCGCCCAGUCGUGUCGAGAGGAUCGGUGUCUUUGUAGAUUACACGGAAUCGAGCACCCGGGCCAGACUGACACUUUCCGGAGCCUGUCCGAGACGGAACGCGAGCCUAGGAUUCAUAGGUCCAGGUCCGGCUGAAGUGACAGGCCAUCAAAAACUGUACAGCAUGACUGAUUCGGAGACAGCCCUCAACACUCGCCCAGUCGUGUCGAGAGGAUCGGUGUCUUUGUAGAUUACACGGAAUCGAGCACCCGGGCCAGACUGACACUUUCCGGAGCCUGUCCGAGACGGAACGCGAGCCUAGGAUUCAUAGGUCCAGGUCCGGCUGAAGUGACAGGCCAUCAAAAACUGUACAGCAUGACUGAUUCGGAGACAGCCCUCAACACUCGCCCAGUCGUGUCGAGAGGAUCGGUGUCUUUGUAGAUUACACGGAAUCGAGCACCCGGGCCAGACUGACACUUUCCGGAGCCUGUCCGAGACGGAACGCGAGCCUAGGAUUCAUAGGUCCAGGUGUGGCAAAAGACUUAAAGCUCAUGUCUGACGAUCACUUUUUUUGAGUCAGGAAUUCAAGUGUGUUGUAUUUCCAUGCAAGCAAGCCCUUUUGUUGGGUGAAAUGACAUCAGAAAUGCUGCUUCUACAUGGAUUUUACCUAAAAUGUGCCCCCCCCCCAAAAAAAGUUUGUUCGAAACCUGUUCAAAACCUGCUUUGAUGCACAAAUAUUGCCAUUGAUGAUUUUUGUCACUUCUUCAGUCAUCUGUUACAUCAACUUUGCCUAUUAGAAUCGAAAGUGAUGACUUGUAUGAAGUCUAAGUGCUGCAUGUAUGAUGAAACCAAGUUUGGCUUUUCUUCCAUAAUUCUUGACGCGAAACGCUGUUACGCAUGACGCUUUCAACGGCGACUUUUAUGAAUAAAUCUGUGUGUCAUUGUACCGGAACUUUGUGAUCUGUCUCAAAACUGAUUAUACCUGUGGGAAAAGUGCCUUUUAUAUAAAUUUAAAGGGGUUGGGUUCUCUUAAAGGUCACAUAAUCCCAAACCGGAACUCCUGUUUACAGGGUUACAUGCAGUCAAUUUGAUAUAUAGCACACAUUGUUCAGUGAAUGCUGCCUAGGAUUUGUAAAAUAGAAUGCAAAUGGUUGUUUUUGGUAUUAAUUUGAAGGUAUAUUUGUAAGCAAUAAGAAAAAAAAGCCAUUUUUGUGCUCUACUUUUUCUGUCGAUGGUUCCCGGCUUUGAAAGUAGGUCAUACUAUUUGAGUAAAAAUGGUCGCCUCCACAUGUGUCAAAACUGGUGUGCCUAUUCUAAGGUAAAUAUUUUGAGUUACAACACAUAGAAUUUGAUUGCAUGCAUUAUUUUCAAAAGAUUAUGCAUUUAUCUUUCCAAUGAUGUAUGAUGAUAUAGUGUUGAAACGCUUGGUCAUGGUAAAAAUUGAUAUCGAACAUCAACUAUUUUAUAUGUAAUAUAGAAGGAAAUUAAUUGCGCAUGCGUAACCUUUAAGAACUUCCGACCAAGUUAGUCGUCUGCCAGAAUUUUGACAAUUGACCAUCAAAAACUCUCUGUAUUGCAAAACAUAACUGCCAGAUGUCAUUUUGACCCAAAUUAGGGCUGUUUGCAAUUGGGCUGUAGCACUUGGGGUAAUACGGGGGGUAAAUGCUGGAAAAUCACACCGAAACCUGUUCCGGAGACAUAUUCUAAGACUACUUAAACACUCGGUAUUGUUUUUCAGUGACAUUUUGACAUUAAUUUGCAUCAAUCUCAAAAAUGAACCUAAUGCAUGUCUUUAUUUCAUCUGUAUCUAUUAUUAUUGUUUACUUUUUGAACCUUUUACUGUUAAAAAUGCCUGCCAAUAUUUGACCGACACUGUUAUUUGCCUUCGCUUUCAACCCCGUCAGGCAAUUCUACUCAGAAUAAGUUUUCAUAACACUACUUUGCCUUAUUUUUCCUGUUUGGAUAUCUUGCUGAGUUCAAGCAAAAUCAAGUGUUCAGCUGAAAACACAAAAAUGAUAAUAAUAUUAUGCUUUCUUUGCUGGAGGAAUGUUGUUGUCAUAGACCCCGCAUGAAAAACACCAGGGAAUCUGUAUUUAAGUGACCCCAUUAUCACUAUUAUUAUGCGUAAACCUAAGCGUGCAUUUGUAGGCGGUGUCGAAAUGGGUCUAUAGCUCUGUCUGAACUGUCGUCCAAUUGGUUUACAGGUCCGGCUGAAGUGACAGGCCAUCAAAAACUGUACAGCAUGACUGAUUCGGAGACAGCCCUCAACACUCGCCCAGUCGUGUCGAGAGGAUCGGUGUCUUUGUAGAUUACACGGAAUCGAGCACCCGGGCCAGACUGACACUUUCCGGAGCCUGUCCGAGACGGAACGCGAGCCUAGGAUUCAUAGGUCCAGGUGUGGCAAAAGACUUAAAGCUCAUGUCUGACGAUCACUUUUUUUGAGUCAGGAAUUCAAGUGUGUUGUAUUUCCAUGCAAGCAAGCCCUUUUGUUGGGUGAAAUGACAUCAGAAAUGCUGCUUCUACAUGGAUUUUACCUAAAAUGUGCCCCCCCCCCCCAAAAAAAGUUUGUUCGAAACCUGUUCAAAACCUGCUUUGAUGCACAAAUAUUGCCAUUGAUGAUUUUUGUCACUUCUUCAGUCAUCUGUUACAUCAACUUUGCCUAUUAGAAUCGAAAGUGAUGACUUGUAUGAAGUCUAAGUGCUGCAUGUAUGAUGAAACCAAGUUUGGCUUUUCUUCCAUAAUUCUUGACGCGAAACGCUGUUACGCAUGACGCUUUCAACGGCGACUUUUAUGAAUAAAUCUGUGUGUCAUUGUACCGGAACUUUGUGAUCUGUCUCAAAACUGAUUAUACCUGUGGGAAAAGUGCCUUUUAUAUAAAUUUAAAGGGGUUGGGUUCUCUUAAAGGUCACAUAAUCCCAAACCGGAACUCCUGUUUACAGGGUUACAUGCAGUCAAUUUGAUAUAUAGCACACAUUGUUCAGUGAAUGCUGCCUAGGAUUUGUAAAAUAGAAUGCAAAUGGUUGUUUUUGGUAUUAAUUUGAAGGUAUAUUUGUAAGCAAUAAGAAAAAAAAGCCAUUUUUGUGCUCUACUUUUUCUGUCGAUGGUUCCCGGCUUUGAAAGUAGGUCAUACUAUUUGAGUAAAAAUGGUCGCCUCCACAUGUGUCAAAACUGGUGUGCCUAUUCUAAGGUAAAUAUUUUGAGUUACAACACAUAGAAUUUGAUUGCAUGCAUUAUUUUCAAAAGAUUAUGCAUUUAUCUUUCCAAUGAUGUAUGAUGAUAUAGUGUUGAAACGCUUGGUCAUGGUAAAAAUUGAUAUCGAACAUCAACUAUUUUAUAUGUAAUAUAGAAGGAAAUUAAUUGCGCAUGCGUAACCUUUAAGAACUUCCGACCAAGUUAGUCGUCUGCCAGAAUUUUGACAAUUGACCAUCAAAAACUCUCUGUAUUGCAAAACAUAACUGCCAGAUGUCAUUUUGACCCAAAUUAGGGCUGUUUGCAAUUGGGCUGUAGCACUUGGGGUAAUACGGGGGGUAAAUGCUGGAAAAUCACACCGAAACCUGUUCCGGAGACAUAUUCUAAGACUACUUAAACACUCGGUAUUGUUUUUCAGUGACAUUUUGACAUUAAUUUGCAUCAAUCUCAAAAAUGAACCUAAUGCAUGUCUUUAUUUCAUCUGUAUCUAUUAUUAUUGUUUACUUUUUGAACCUUUUACUGUUAAAAAUGCCUGCCAAUAUUUGACCGACACUGUUAUUUGCCUUCGCUUUCAACCCCGUCAGGCAAUUCUACUCAGAAUAAGUUUUCAUAACACUACUUUGCCUUAUUUUUCCUGUUUGGAUAUCUUGCUGAGUUCAAGCAAAAUCAAGUGUUCAGCUGAAAACACAAAAAUGAUAAUAAUAUUAUGCUUUCUUUGCUGGAGGAAUGUUGUUGUCAUAGACCCCGCAUGAAAAACACCAGGGAAUCUGUAUUUAAGUGACCCCAUUAUCACUAUUAUUAUGCGUAAACCUAAGCGUGCAUUUGUAGGCGGUGUCGAAAUGGGUCUAUAGCUCUGUCUGAACUGUCGUCCAAUUGGUUUACAGGUCCGGCUGAAGUGACAGGCCAUCAAAAACUGUACAGCAUGACUGAUUCGGAGACAGCCCUCAACACUCGCCCAGUCGUGUCGAGAGGAUCGGUGUCUUUGUAGAUUACACGGAAUCGAGCACCCGGGCCAGACUGACACUUUCCGGAGCCUGUCCGAGACGGAACGCGAGCCUAGGAUUCAUAGGUCCAGGUCCGGCUGAAGUGACAGGCCAUCAAAAACUGUACAGCAUGACUGAUUCGGAGACAGCCCUCAACACUCGCCCAGUCGUGUCGAGAGGAUCGGUGUCUUUGUAGAUUACACGGAAUCGAGCACCCGGGCCAGACUGACACUUUCCGGAGCCUGUCCGAGACGGAACGCGAGCCUAGGAUUCAUAGGUCCAGGUCCGGCUGAAGUGACAGGCCAUCAAAAACUGUACAGCAUGACUGAUUCGGAGACAGCCCUCAACACUCGCCCAGUCGUGUCGAGAGGAUCGGUGUCUUUGUAGAUUACACGGAAUCGAGCACCCGGGCCAGACUGACACUUUCCGGAGCCUGUCCGAGACGGAACGCGAGCCUAGGAUUCAUAGGUCCAGGUCCGGCUGAAGUGACAGGCCAUCAAAAACUGUACAGCAUGACUGAUUCGGAGACAGCCCUCAACACUCGCCCAGUCGUGUCGAGAGGAUCGGUGUCUUUGUAGAUUACACGGAAUCGAGCACCCGGGCCAGACUGACACUUUCCGGAGCCUGUCCGAGACGGAACGCGAGCCUAGGAUUCAUAGGUCCAGGUGUGGCAAAAGACUUAAAGCUCAUGUCUGACGAUCACUUUUUUUGAGUCAGGAAUUCAAGU